GACCUGCGGAGGACAUUAUUGAAUACGUGCGGGGCUCACUCGAUGCUGGCUUUUCGGAGCAUGUGCUCGUGGGUCUCAAUCUAUUCUCCUUCAUCUCUUGUGCACCUUCUGUAGUCUUUGAAGUAGAAGUGAUUUGUGAUCUUAGGAUUGCAAGAUUUUUUGGGGAGCUUUGAGGAGCGUCUAUACAAUGAAGCACUCUCUCCCUGCUUUCGCUUCUUCCCUUCAAGGACUAUGUUUUAUAUACCCUUUUGUAUGUCUAGAAUGUCUUACUUUUAUUGACUUCGGUCAUUAAAAUCCUAUACAACUUUCAGCAACGGAUCUCUUGGCUCUCCCAUCGAUGAAGAACGCAGCGAAAUGCGAUAAUUAAUGUGAAUUGCAGAAUUCAGUGAAUCAUUGAGUCUUUGAACGCACCUUGCACCCUUUGGUAUUCCGAAGGGUAUGCCUGUUUGAGUGUCAUUAAAUUCUCAACCUUAACUGCUUUGUUGUGGUUAAUGGCUUGGAUGUGAGGGCUUGCUGGCUUCCUUCAGUGGACGGUCUGCUCCCUUCAAAUGCAUUAGUGGGAUCCUUUGUGGAUCGCCAUGCACUUUAGUGUGAUAGUUUAUCUACGCUAUUGUGUUGGUCUGCAAAACUUGUGGGAACCUGCUUAUAACUGUCCUUUGCACAAAUGUACUUUACUGUACAACCUCUCUUGACCUCAAAUCAGGUAGGACUACCCGCUGAACUUAAGCAUAUCAAUAAGCGGAGGAAAAGAAACUAACAAGGAUUCCCCUAGUAACUGCGAGUGAAGCGGGAAAAGCUCAAAUUUAAAAUCUGGCGGUUCUUGUAGCCGUCCGAGUUGUAAUUUAGAGAAGUGCUAUCCGCGCUGGACCGUGUACAAGUCUCCUGGAAUGGAGCGUCAUAGAGGGUGAGAAUCCCGUCUUUGACACGGACUGCCAGGGCAUUGUGAUACGCUCUCGAAGAGUCGAGUUGUUUGGGAAUGCAGCUCAAAAUGGGUGGUAAAUUCCAUCUAAAGCUAAAUAUUGGGGAGAGACCGAUAGCGAACAAGUACCGUGAGGGAAAGAUGAAAAGAACUUUGGAAAGAGAGUUAAACAGUACGUGAAAUUGCUGAAAGGGAAACGCUUGAAGUCAGUCGCGUCGUUCAGGACUCAGCCUUGCUCUGCUUGGUGUACUUCCUGUUCGACGGGUCAGCAUCAGUUUUGGCCGGUGGAAAAGGGCUCAGGGAAUGUGGCACCUUCGGGUGUGUUAUAGCCUUGGGUCGCAUACAUCGGCUGGGACUGAGGAACUCAGCACGCCGCAAGGCCGGGUACUUGUACCACGUUCGUGCUAGGA
rnacentral:rRNA from 1 species